rnacentral:lncRNA from 1 species
CUGGGAAACAGAACGGGAGGGUGGUGGAGCAGCCAGUCCAUCCUCCUCCCGGAAGCACCACCGACGAAGGUGGAGAAACUGCAGAGGCCUCCUCUUGACUUUGGCCAGAUGGAAUCUGUGUUUCUGGAAGAGAUGAGAGAAAAAGAGCAGCCCUGAGCUCAACAGGUUGCAGACAGGAAAAUGGAGGCUCUGAAACGUUAAGUGAGGUUAACAGCUAAGUGAUGAGUCACAACCCAAAGGCAAGGCUUCCGUCGCCAGCUUCACGGAGGCCCUCCCUGGGCAGAGCGGCAAGGACACAGAGCGGAGCAGAGUUCUGGAGCCAGCUCCUGUUACCAAGUGUAGGUUCCCUACCCCCCACACGAGAGGGGCGAAUAAAACUGGAACACCAGGCUUAUGGCGAGGAACGCGUUUUUAUUUUGCAUGACAUCAGCUGGGAGAUGAGAGUGAGCCCUCAAAUUUGUCUCAUUUUGUCUCGUCUCCCGGAAAGAAGGGAGGAGAGGGGUUUUAAAGGUUUUAUGAGGAAUGUGGCUGCUUGUAGAGAGGUGGGGGGAGUCAGUGGCCUUGCUGCUCAGAGGUUUCCCAGCAGCCUGCAUUUGACCUUGGGAGGCAGAGGAGAUGAUAAGGAACCCAGGUGGGCGACCUUGGCUGUUUGUAUCCAUGGUGGAUAGUGGAUUCUGGAGCCAGGGAGCUGGAGAGUAAGCAGGGAAAGAGUGCUUUGGUUUUAACCCCACAUAUGCUGGGUUUAAUGUAGGGGGACUGAUAUCAGGGCCGCCAUCAAUCCUAGCUGGUCACUUACUGGCUGCAGGACUUUGGACCAAACACUUGCCAGCUCCCAGCUGCAGCUUUCUCACCUGAAAGGGGGAACCAAACAGCCACCUCCCAGGUCCGAAUAACAGUGUCCCCGGAUGGGCCUCUGCAUCGCAGGGCCUUUGAGGAUGAGAAAGCAAAGCCCCAUCCUCUCUGCCAGCCCUGGAGGGCACCUCUGCCAGCUGCUGCCA